UACAGAGGGGGCAAGCGUUGUUCGGAAUUACUGGGCGUAAAGGGCGCGUAGGCGGCCUUCUAAGUCGAACGUGAAAUCCCCGGGCUCAACCCGGGAACUGCGUCCGAUACUGGAAGGCUUGAAUCCGGGAGAGGGAUGCGGAAUUCCAGGUGUAGCGGUGAAAUGCGUAGAUAUCGUAAGGAAGACCAGUGGCGAAGGCGGGUCUCUGGACAGUUCCUGCCGCUGAGGCACGAAGGUCAGGGGAGCAAACGGG
rnacentral:rRNA from 1 species